UCAGACAACUGCCGAGCUGCAUAUGUGUCUGUUUAUUGUGUAGGCCUAGGCGUACUGUAACAUAAGGGAAUUUUUCAUAUCUUCCCUGCAAAACAUCCGCACAAGCAUGUCAACAACAUAUUUAGGGUAUUUCUUUCUACUUAACGAUGUGAUACACCGCCAAUGAAUUCCCUUUUUGCUUCGAACAAGUUCCUCUGAACUUCGCCCUUGCAGCAUCACAGUGCUUCCUGCCACCGGCGCGUGAACAUCUUGCAGGUUCAUUUUAGUCUCAUAAUAGCCUAUUGUGAAACACAGCCAGUCGCACGGUGCAGAAAGUCAGUGUAGCAUUGGAAGAUGUUGCGAUUGCUGUUUCUGUGUCUGAUUGUUACUCUGCGAGGAGCUGCUGCUUCCUCAGAGGAGGAGAGUGAAGGAUCAGCAGACGCAGCAGAUGGAGAUGAUGAAGACCUAAUCAAGCAAAACUUGAGCCCAAAUCGCAGGCAAGAUUCCACGCUUAUCAAACCUGAAACUGAUGAUACUGUGGACACAAACAAGGCAACAGGAGAAAAACAAGCGGAAGAUGGAUUUACUACCAUUGUCAUCAUCGUAGCCGUGAGUGUGGUGGCACUGUCAAUCGCAGUGAUAGUAGCCAUAGUGCUGGUCCGGCGCCGCAUGCACAACCGACCACAAGGGACCUACUCAGUGCCCGCAGAACAGGGAAUGAAAGGAACGGUCUAACCACAGGAUGAGCUCCAGUCCCAUUGGACACCUGCAGGGGAGGACCAAUGAACUGAGCUCUACAACAUACUGCCCUUUGACCCAGGAAGGGUACACUUUCCACCCCAGCCUGCUCUUACUGAACCAUUCCCUACUGCUCUCCUCUCUGAGACCAUCUGUUACUGUGUCAUGGGUGCCCUCCAAAGGAAACUUAGUUUCCUUUAUUUGGUCUCUUGUUUGUUUCUGUCCCACAUAUCCCAAAGUAUGUGUGUAUAUUUAAAAGGGCAUUCUGCAGUUGCUGCUUUUGUCCAAUGUUAUAUUUUACAAGAAAAACAAAUAUCCCGCUAGAAGUCAUUUGCAAUUGUUUCGACAGGUUUCUCCGCUCCGUCGCUAAACUAAACUGUAUUCAGAGAUGAUUUGGUGCAUUCAGAACAGGCUUUUUUGAAUGAGAAAAGCGAGUUUAAUCCACCCUAAACCAGUCCAGUCCUCACUAAAUUUCCCUGUUCAGCUCUGUGACAUAUCCUGUCCUUGGCCUAUUAGUGACAACAGCCAAUACAGUUGAAAGAUAAAGCUUGUUCUCCCGUCUUCUCAACCUCUGAAGGGGAAAAAGGAAAAGAAAUGGGUGGAAAAAGCCAGAGGUCUGAGAUGGAAUUAAUCAACCUUUGUGAAUGAUGAUGUUUUCUUUUCAACAUCCCCCUUCUCUUUUUCUUUUUGAAAUGCUUCCUUUCAAAACGUCAACCACAUCACUGAUUGUAGAUAGCUCUUGGAUGGCUGAGGAAUGUCUGAUUUUAAUGGUUUAUAGUGCUGGGAUGGGGGUAUGGUGGGGAGAAAUUGAGAGGAUAGUGCGGGGGUUGGGGGGUGAGUGGGGAAAUACCCACGAUGCCCAUGUUUCAUUCAUACUGAGUAUAAGGCCACUCCACCAUCGCUCCCUGGCUCUCUUUUCAUUUAAAUGGAAAUCAAUCGUGCCCCGUGAACAAAAGCUUUAGGGCCGAGGUGCUGGCUGGCUUAUUUCUUACUCUGCAUUACAGAGAAAGGACUUUUUUUGGGCAGUGGUCAGAGGAGAGGGGGAGUUGGACAUGAUGUGCUUUGGCAUGACAGGGCUAUUCAUUUGUUGCGUUAUCAUGAGGGAACAAGGGUUGUUGUGAGUGUGUGCGAAUUACACCCAAGAUCAAGUAGUGUUGAAAUCACUGGGUCUGUCAAAACAGCGUGCGCAUUGUCUUUCUCCACUCAACCUUACCGCUGUGAUGUCAUCAGCUGGGGAUGGGCUUGGCUGGGUUCCAGACUGUACAGAAACACCUGUGUUAUUAGUGUCUCCAUCACAUUUUGUGUUCUCUGGUUCACUCAAUCAGAAUUGUCCCAAUCUGUUUAAGUUGACGAAAUUCAAUUAGUAAACCGAUUCUAAAUGCAUACAGUGUGGUAUGUGUGUGUCUGCACUCUGCAGGUGUUUGCGUUUGGGGAGAUUGUGUAUGUGGGGUUUGUGUUUGGGGAGAUUGUGUAUGUGGGGUUUGUGUUUGGGGAGAUUGUGUAUGUGGGGUUUGAUUGAAGCAUCACAACUAGCCCAGUAAGCCUGAGAUGUCAUCUAGCUCUGACAGCAUUUCAAAAUGAGUAUAAUUUGACAUACAGUAAAAGAACAAAAUAACUUUCACUUUCUGUUUGUUUACUGACCACAGUCACAUUCAAGAAAGCCUUUUUCCCGUACUCAGAAAUACCCUUAGAAAUUCCCUUCACCUACAAAGUAGACGUUGUGGUUACCAGUCAGCGACUAGUCUCACUAUAAGAUGAGGUUUGCAUAGAACAGUUUUUCUUGUUUGCGAUACAAAGUACAUCUAAGAACCAUUCAA
rnacentral:lncRNA from 1 species